AGACAGAAACACUGUUAACAUACCCCUGACACAGUGAUGGAAACGCUGAAAGUAUGUCAGUGUGCAAGGUGCUGUGUGUUAGGUUGUGGUGUGUGUACUUACAUUAAGGUGGUGUGUGUACUUACAUUAAGGUGGUGUGUGUACUUACAUUAAGGUGGUGUGUGUACUUACAUUAAGGUGGUGUGUGUCAGGUUAUGGUGUGUGUACUUACAUUAAGGUGGUGUGUGUACUUACAUUAAGGUGGUGUGUGUCAGGUUGUGGUGUGUGUACUUACAUUAAGGUGGUGUGUGUCAGGUUGUGGUGUGUGUACUUACAUUAAGGUGGUGUGUGUCAGGUUGUGGUGUGUGUACUUACAUUAAGGUGGUGUGUGUCAGGUUGUGGUGUGUGUACUUACAUUAAGGUGGUGUGUGUCAGGUUGUGGUGUGUGUACUUACAUUAAGGUGGUGUGUGUCAGGUUAUGGUGUGUGUACUUACAUUAAGGUGGUGUGUGUCAGGUUGUGGUGUGUGUACUUACAUUAAGGUGGUGUGUGUCAGGUUGUGGUGUGUGUACUUACAUUAAGGUGGUGUGUGUCAGGUUGUGGUGUGUGUACUUACAUUAAGGUGGUGUGUGUCAAGUUGUGGUGUGUGUACUUACAUUAAGGUGGUGUGUGUCAAGUUAUGGUGUGUGUACUUAC